rnacentral:rRNA from 1 species
UGAGGAACAUGACCUUCGGCGGGGGAUAGUCGGCCCAACGGCCGGGUAAUACCGCGUACGACCACAUGGGGACAUCCCUGAGUGGUGAAAGCAGCAAUGCGCCGAUGGAGUGCCUCGCGGCCUAUCAGCUUGUUGGUGAGGUAACGGCUCACCAAGGCUUCGACGGGUAGCCGGCCUGAGAGGGCGACCGGCCACACUGGGACUGAGAUACCGGCCCAGACCUCCUACGGGGA